rnacentral:rRNA from 1 species
GGUGAGUAACGCGUGGGAACGUGCCCUUUGGUUCGGAACAACACAGGGAAACUUGUGCUAAUACCGAAUGUGCCCUUCGGGGGAAAGAUUUAUCGCCAUUGGAGCGGCCCGCGUUGGAUUAGGUAGUUGGUGGGGUAAAGGCCCACCAAGCCGACGAUCCAUAGCUGGUCUGAGAGGAUGAUCAGCCACACUGGGACUGAGACACGGCCCAGACUCCUACGGGAGGCAGCAGUAGGGAAUCUUGCGCAAUGGGCGAAAGCCUGACGCAGCCAUGCCGCGUGAAUGAUGAAGGUCUUAGGAUUGUAAAAUUCUUUCACCGGGGAAGAUAAUGACGGUACCCGGAGAAGAAGCCCCGGCUAACUUCGUGCCAGCAGCCGCGGUAAUACGAAGGGGGCUAGCGUUGCUCGGAAUUACUGGGCGUAAAGGGCGCGUAGGCGGAUAGUUUAGUCAGAGGUGAAAGCCCAGGGCUCAACCUUGGAACUGCCUUUGAUACUGGCUAUCUUGAGUUCGGGAGAGGUGAGUGGAAUGCCGAGUGUAGAGGUGAAAUUCGUAGAUAUUCGGCGGAACACCAGUGGCGAAGGCGACUCACUGGCCCGAUACUGACGCU